UACGUAGGGGGCUAGCGUUGUCCGGAAUCAUUGGGCGUAAAGCGCGUGUAGGCGGUUCGGUAAGUCUGCUGUGAAAGUCGGGGGCUCAACCCUCGAAUGCCGGUGGAUACUGUCGGACUAGAGUGCGGAAGAGGCGAGUGGAAUUCCUGGUGUAGCGGUGAAAUGCGCAGAUAUCAGGAGGAACACCAAUUGCGAAGGCAGCUCGCUGGGACGUUACUGACGCUGGAGAACGGCGAAAGCGUGGGGAGCAAACAGG
rnacentral:rRNA from 1 species